AGUACGUGACUAGGUACGUGAGUACGUGACUAGCUACGUGACUACAUGACUAGGUACGUGACUAGCUACGUGACUACGUGACUAGGUACGUGACUACGUGACUAGCUACGUGACUACAUGACUAGGUAUGUGACUAGGUACGUGACUAGCUACGUGACUACGUGACUAGGUACGUGACUACAUGACUAGGUAUGUGACUAGGUACGUGACUACGUGACUAGCUACGUGACUACGUGACUAGGUACAAGACUAGCUACGUCACUACGUGACUAGGUACGUGAGUACAUGACUAGGUACGUGACUAUGUGACUAGGUACGUGACUACGUGACUAGCUACGUGACUACGCCAGCAGGACGCCCCUGAUUUGCAUAACGUAGCCUGAAUUAAACUUUAUGCAAAUGAGGAGCGGGAAACUCCCUGCCCCGUCUCUAGAAGGUUGCCGCGACAAUACGAACACAAUGAACUACAAACAUGGAAAUGGCGCUGCCCGUUGACACGUACGUUAGCAUUAAGGUACCAUAUGUGUUUUAAAGGUAACAUAAAUAAUAUUCAGCUGCAGUUUUAAGGGCCCCUUCAGCAAAGACUCAUGGGAGUUGUAGUUAAUGUUUAUGUUGGGAGUGCUGUACUUGAUGCAGACCUGCUCCCUGUGGGAGUCCCGGGGAGGAAGAGGAAGAGGAAGAGGAAGAGGAGGAGAUGAUCUUAGCUUUAUAUCCACAGAGUUUCGUCACCUGACAAUAAUACGGCUCACUGUGAGAAAAGCUCCACGUAGCUAACGGCUCAAAGCAACACAGCAACACACAACAGCCAAGAAAACUACAUUUAUCACCUAAAGAUGAUCCAGAUUUUCCUGAUAAACUGAGACAGGAACAUGUCUGGGUGU